rnacentral:lncRNA from 1 species
CUGGGGAGAAAAGGAAGCCCCUUUGUGACAUAGGCAAAGGGGAGGGCGAAGGGGGGAUUUGAACCCGUGAACUGAGUGCAACUAUGGCUUAGCUGAGCCACUGGGAUUCCGUCCUGUCUGAACAAGCCAGCGCUAGCGCCUAGCCCCCCAACAAGUUUCACUUGGCCCUGUAGAAUUUGGGGGGCUCAGGACAAAGGAAUCGGGAGCUGGAGGCCCUCGGACCAUCUUAAACCUGCUCCCUCCCGUGGCACAGCUUGGAGCGAGAGAGGGGCUGCUGGGUGGUCCUGAAGAAUUAGCAGCGGGGGACAACACACACACACACACACAGCAUCUUCCUAGGAGACCCGGGCGCUAGAGAUUAGUUAUGAGCCAUCUCCCUGCACCUAUAUCUGCCUAGCUUGGUAUCCCAGACUGUGACGCUCCGAAGGAACCCAUGGCUGUCCAUUGUCCCCACUUAAUUUUGUCCUCCACCUUGGGGAGCUGGGAGUGAAGCUGGGAGUCGGAAGAUCUGGGUUCUAUUCCUUGCUGAGCUGCCGUGUGACCUUGGGUGAGUCCCUUCAGUUCCCUGGCCCUCUUUCUCCUCCCACCUG